AUCAGUAAAGCAGUUCAUGAAUAAGACGUACCUCCGCAGUUAGUAGUGACCGUCCUGUUUUUGAUCCCGCGAGUUCUGUUUUUCCGUAACACGCUGACCAGCACCAUAUGAGUGUGUGGCAGCAGAUAAUAUGAUUGAUUUCAGGAAGUUUAAGUAUGUCUACUACUACCGGUACUGUUAAGUUCUUCAACGAAGCAAAAGGCUUUGGCUUUAUCACUCGUGAAGGCGGCCCGGACGUAUUCGUUCACUACAGCGCCAUUCAGGGCUCUGGUUUCAAGACCCUGGCCGAAGGCCAGCAGGUCGAGUUCACCGUAACUCAGGGCCAGAAAGGUCCUCAGGCGGAGAACGUUGUUGCUCUGUAAUCCCC
rnacentral:sRNA from 1 species